AUUGAACGCUGGCGGCAGGCCUAACACAUGCAAGUCGAGCGGAUGAAGGGAGCUUGCUCCUGGAUUCAGCGGCGGACGGGUGAGUAAUGCCUAGGAAUCUGCCUGGUAGUGGGGGAUAACGUCCGGAAACGGGCGCUAAUACCGCAUACGUCCUGAGGGAGAAAGUGGGGGAUCUUCGGACCUCACGCUAUCAGAUGAGCCUAGGUCGGAUUAGCUAGUUGGUGGGGUAAAGGCCUACCAAGGCGACGAUCCGUAACUGGUCUGAGAGGAUGAUCAGUCACACUGGAACUGAGACACGGGCCAGACUCCUAAGGGAGGCAGCAGUUGGGAAUAUUGGACAAUGGGCGAAAGCCUGAUCCAGGCAUGGCGCGUGUGUGAAGAAGGUCUUCGGAUUGUAAAGCACUUUAAGUUGGGAGGAAGGGCAGUAAGUUAAUACCUUGCUGUUUUGACGUUACCAACAGAAUAAGCACCGGCUAACUUCGUG
rnacentral:rRNA from 1 species